rnacentral:rRNA from 1 species
UGGGGAAUAUUGGACAAUGGGCGAAAGCCUGAUCCAGCCAUGCCGCGUGUGUGAAGAAGGUCUUCGGAUUGUAAAGCACUUUAAGUUGGGAGGAAGGGCAGUAAGCGAAUACCUUGCUGUUUUGACGUUACCGACAGAAUAAGCACCGGCUAACUCUGUGCCAGCAGCCGCGGUAAUACAGAGGGUGCAAGCGUUAAUCGGAAUUACUGGGCGUAAAGCGCGCGUAGGUGGUUCGGUAAGUUGAAUGUGAAAGCCCCGGGCUCAACCUGGGAACUGGAUCCAAAACUGGCGAGAUAGAGUAGGGCAGAGGGUGGUGGAAGUUCCUGUGUAGCGGUGAAAUGCGUAGAUAGAGGAAGGAACACCAGUGGCGAAGGCGACCACCUGGGCUCAUACUGACACUGAGGUGCGAAAGCGAGGGGAGCAAACGGG